GAACCACUACAGAUGCCUCCUGCAGCAGCCGGCCUCGCGAGUUCACGGGGAAGUCUCCCCGCAAGGUGCGGCUGCCGCUGGUCGGCACACAGCGAGGGGCCAGAUCUGACGUCAAACCACGGAGGAUGCGGACGCCUCGCGUACAACCCCGGCGCUUUCGUCCGCCACUGAGCUCCAAAGCCGGAGGGGAGUGCGGUGGAUGAAGACUCGGAGCGUGCGGCACGAGAAGAAUGAGAUACAAAAACGGAAUUGUUUCCUUGUAGUGGCCACGAGCGGCGUCGUGCGCUGUGCCUGUUGGGUUGUUUUAAAAAAAAUGUUGUUUGCAUUACCGGUAACCGCAUGAAAAAAGCCCGCUUUUAACCGGUUUUCCGCACAUAAAGAGAUGUUCGGCAUGAAGUUAUUUUUCCCCAAUUACAUUCCUUAAAUAAUUAUCAAAUAGAGAAA